rnacentral:rRNA from 1 species
GGAAUUUUCCGCAAUGGGCGAAAGCCUGACGGAGCAACGCCGCGUGAGGGAUGAAGGCCUCUGGGCUGUAAACCUCUUUUAUCAAGGAAGAAGAUCUGACGGUACUUGAUGAAUAAGCCACGGCUAAUUCCGUGCCAGCAGCCGCGGUAAUACGGGAGUGGCAAGCGUUAUCCGGAAUUAUUGGGCGUAAAGCGUCCGCAGGCGGUCUUGUAAGUCUGUCGUUAAAGCGUGGAGCUUAACUCCAUUUAAGCGAUGGAAACUGCAAGACUAGAGUGUGGUAGGGGCAGAGGGAAUUCCCGGUGUAGCGGUGAAAUGCGUAGAUAUCGGGAAGAACACCAGUGGCGAAGGCGCUCUGCUGGGCCAUAACUGACGCUCAUGGACGAAAGCCAGGGGAGCGAAAGGGAUUAGAUACCCCUGUAGUCCUGGCCGUAAACGAUGAACACUAGGUGUCGGGGGAAUCGACCCCCUCGGUGUCAUAGCCAACGCGUUAAGUGUUCCGCCUGGGGAGUACGCACGCAAGUGUGAAACUCAAAGGAAUUGACGGA